CGUUAAAGGGCAGGCCUGUGCGUAAAAAAAUCAGUUUGUUCUUGUUUUUUCACGGUUGACAUUUUAGCAUGUGACGUUCAGUAUAUUAAGAAAGGCGAUGAUGUAGGCUAACCCUGUGGUGUUGCUUUGGAGGUUUACAUUAGGAGUUCACAUCGACCUUAUAAAACUUUUGUUUUUCCAUGUCACACGAUGUUGCAAACAUGCAUAUCUGCUGUUUUUUGACAAACAACAUCUUUCAAUUAGUCUUAGUCGGCUGGGAGAUCCGUAGUAGGUCGAUUAUUUAAAUUAAUUAUUUUUGUAAGAUACACGAGGCAGUUCAAAGUACUUUAGGUAAGUACAUCACAAAGUGAACCUUUGCAGUAAAGUAAGAAAAGCUGGCCAAAGGUUUUACUACUUUUAGACCAUACAGUAAAUGUAAGUAGAGCCACCUGCUGGAAAUCAUGAACCUGUCAUGCUGCCUUCAUGUGCUCACAGGAAGUUGUAAAUAGGAUGAGCAAGCAGUAAAAUAAUGUUGUUAUUCUUAUGUUGACAAUUAAAGGAAACGAUGUAAAAUGUAAUAUUAGCCUUAGUUGCAAGUCUGUCAUUGUUGGAAGGCAUACAAAAUAUUUAUAUUAUGUUUUUGCUUUGUUAAACUAUUUAAAAAAUGUUUUAUUAAAUUACAUGCAUCAUACACAAUUUGCAUGCAUGUCUGCAUUCUGCUACUGAAUCACAGCUAAUGUGUAGAUCACAUCAGUGUUACCAUGAAAUACUUGUGCACAGCAAGUGGCAUUUGCAAUGGGUGACUCAUGAGUCAGAAAUAUGAGCUCCCAAGGAACACUCGAGGGCAGUUGUGUUAAAGCUCCUUUGUUCCCAGGUUGUGCAGCACAUUUUAAGUCUGCAGAAGCUGGUGAAUAUCACAAGGAAUACAUUUGUUGGCAUUGUGUAUCACAGUAACUAAAUGUGGUAAACAAAUGUGCUUUUUACACAGUAUAUUGGAUAAUACCCUGUAGCUUUUAUUGACUUUCCAGAGACAUAAAGACAAAUCAUUUAUUGUACCUGGGGUGUUUCUGCUGACCUCUUGUGGAGGCUACAUUGAGUUAAUGGAGUGAUUGGAUCUACGUUUAGGGGGAAUUGACUGCUGCCAAAUAAAUACAUUCAAGAGAUUAUUUCACAAGUUUGAUGGAAGUUAUGGGACUACGUGGUCAUAAAAUCAGUAAUCUCAUGAGGAACUUUAUUUUUCUUUAUACAUUUUGAGUUUUGACUGAAUAUGAUGAAGAUUUACUGACAACAUCUGAGUCCUGAAAAUUAAUAAAAUGCACAACAGAG